AUCUUUUGCUAACAGUGUUUUCACGUACAGGCUUAGAUCAAGUGUAGUAUCUGUUCUUUUCAGUUUAAUCUCUGAAAGAUCGUCACAGACGGUCACAUUGAUUAUACUUAUUUUUGUCCUUCGGGGAUGGUCCGCUGUGCUUGCGCAUGAUCAUUCCCAUAGUUUCCCUGGUAUUACACUGCCUCCAGGUGAAGCGAACAACU
rfam:Sclerotinia sclerotiorum 1980 scaffold_15 genomic scaffold, whole genome shotgun sequence.